rnacentral:rRNA from 1 species
AGCGUAGGCGGAUUUUUAAGUGAGAUGUGAAAUACUCGGGCUUAACCUGAGUGCUGCAUUUCAAACUGGAAGUCUAGAGUGCAGGAGAGGAGAAGGGAAUUCCUAGUGUAGCGGUGAAAUGCGUAGAGAUUAGGAAGAACACCAUGGCGAAGGCGCUCUCUGGACUGUAACUGACGCUGAGGCUCGAAAGCGUGGGGAGCAAACA